UACAGAGGGUGCGAGCGUUGUCCGGAAUCACUGGGCGUAAAGAGCUCGUAGGCGGCUGUUCAAGUCGAACGUGAAAACUCGGAGCUCAACUCCGAGCCUGCGUUCGAUACUGGACGGCUAGAGUCUGGUAGGGGGAUCUGGAAUUCCUGGUGUAGCGGUGGAGUGCGCAGAUAUCAGGAGGAACACCUGCGGUGUAGACGGCUUACUGGACCAUAACUGACGCUGAGGCACGAAAGCGUGGGUAGCAAACAGG
rnacentral:rRNA from 1 species